GCGGCGGUGGCGAAAUUGGUAGACGCACUACUUUGAGGUGGUAGCGCCGUAAAAAGCGUGGCAGUUCGAAUCUGCUCCGCCGCA
rnacentral:tRNA from 1 species